AGCUGGAUGGCCGUGGGGGCGUAAGCCCGCGAGGAAAGUCCGGACUCCACAAAGCAACGGUGCCGGGUAACGCCCGGCCGGGGAAACCCGAGGGAAAGCGCCACAGAAAACAGACCGCUCUCGCUUGCGAGAGUAAGGGUGAAACGGUGGGGUAAGAGCCCACCGCGCGGCUGGCAACAGCGGCGGCACGGCAAGCCCCACCGGGAGCAAUGCCAAAUAGGGACCGCGUGUGCGCAAGCACAGGAGCGCUUUGCUCCGAGCAGGUCCGGGUUGGCAGCUUGAGGUGUCUGGUAACAGGCACCCUAGAUGAAUGGUCAUUGAACUGGCUUCGGUCGGGGAACAGAAUCCGGCUUAUAGGCUCUCU
rnacentral:RNase_P_RNA from 1 species